GUGCCAGCGCUCCUCUCCCAGCGCUCACCGGUCCUUCCAGCAGUCCUCAGGUUGCACGCGACCGGCAGUGAGCUU
rnacentral:misc_RNA from 1 species